CAUGUUAUUGAGCUGCAGGAUGGCAUGUGAGAGGAAAUCAAAAGUGCUGCUGGCAAUCAAGUGCACGGCUCCAGAACUGUGAGAGGAGAAGUGAAACGGAGAGCUCAGCUUCAGGAGCAAGAGGAUCAAGUAUCUCCAGAUGUGGCUGAGCAGUGGCUGCAGGUCCUCUCUGCACUCAGACAGGCCCACAGGGAAGAGGCUUCUUGACCUCACCUGUGGGGUGGGAGUGAGGAAACACAAACCAUUUUCAGCAUCAGGAAACUCCUGUCCCUUCUGGUGGACAGGGAUCUAAUCAGAACGUUCAUCUGGAGGCUCAGCCUUGGCUUCAGGCAGCCCUACUCUGGUGCUGGUGCCACUCACAGACUUGGGGCCCGCUCUUCAGUGGGUGCCAUGGAUUUGAAAGGCACUGGGGACAAUGGUGGGCAUCAGACUUAAUUUCCUGAAUGGCCUAAGCAGUGCACUCCCCUGUGAACUGCUGCUGCAAGGAGAAAUGAUUGAAAGAGGUCUGUGAGAAUCCAAACAAGGUAAGGCAUAAUUGCAAAAAAUAGUUGAAGAAUGUUCCAGUCCUAAGAAAAUGAUCCCAUAAUUAAG